rnacentral:sRNA from 1 species
GCCUGGCAUGGUGGUGCACGCCUGUAAUCUUAGCAGCUCAGGAGGCUGAGGCAGGAGGAUCUUCUUGGGUUCAAAGUCAGCCUCAGCAAAAGUGAGGCACGAAGCAACUCAAUAAGAUCCUGUCUCUA